rnacentral:rRNA from 1 species
AUUGAACGCCGGCGGCAUGCCUUACACAUGCAAGUCGAACGGCAGCACGGGGCAACCUGGUGGCGAGUGGCGAACGGGUGAGUAAUGCAUCGGAACGUGCCAUUGAGUGGGGGGAUAACGUAGCGAAAGUUGCGCUAAUACCGCAUAUUCUGUGAGCAGGAAAGCAGGGGACCGCAAGGCCUUGCGCUCUUUGAGCGGCCGAUGUCAGAUUAGCUAGUUGGUGAGGUAACGGCUUACCAAGGCGACGAUCUGUAGCGGGUCUGAGAGGAUGAUCCGCCACACUGGAACUGAGACACGGUCCAGACUCCUACGGGAGGCAGCAGUGGGGAAUUUUGGACAAUGGGCGCAAGCCUGAUCCAGCCAUGCCGCGUGAGUGAAGAAGGCCU